GAUGAACGCUGACAGAAUGCUUAACACAUGCAAGUCUUUGGCGAAGCUGUGCUUGCACAGCCUAGCCAAGGCGGACGGGUGAGUAACGCGUAAGGAACUUGCCCUGCAGUCAGGGAUAACAGACGGAAACGACUGAUAAGACCUGGUAAAGUCAGGCGGACUCAUGUCCAGCCUGAUGAAAAGAGAUGCUGCAGGAGAGCCUUGCGUCCUAUUAGCUUGUUGGUGGGGUAACGGCCCACCAAGGCGAUGAUAGGUAGCCGGCCUGAGAGGGUGGACGACCACAAGGGGACUGAGAUACGGCCCUUACUCCUACGGGAGGCAGCAGUGGGGAAUAUUGGACAAUGGGGGCAACCCUGAUCCAGCAAUUCUGUGUGCACGAUGAAGGUUUUCGGAUUGUAAAGUGCUUUCAGCAGGGAAGAAAAAAUGACGGUACCUGCAGAAGAAGCGACGGCUAAAUACGUG
rnacentral:rRNA from 1 species